rnacentral:rRNA from 1 species
GGACGAACGCUGGCGGCGUGCUUAACACAUGCAAGUCGAACGAUGAUCAGGAGCUUGCUCYUGUGAUUAGUGGCGAACGGGUGAGUAACACGUGAGUAACCUGCCCCUGACUCUGGGAUAAGCGUUGGAAACGACGUCUAAUACUGGAUAUGAUCACUGGCCGCAUGGUCUGGUGGUGGAAAGAUUUUUUGGUUGGGGAUGGACUCGCGGCCUAUCAGCUUGUUGGUGAGGUAAUGGCUCACCAAGGCGACGACGGGUAGCCGGCCUGAGAGGGUGACCGGCCACACUGGGACUGAGACACGGCCCAGACUCCUACGGGAGGCAGCAGUGGGGAAUAUUGCACAAUGGGCGAAAGCCUGAUGCAGCAACGCCGCGUGAGGGAUGACGGCCUUCGGGUUGUAAACCUCUUUUAGUAGGGAAGAAGCRAGAGUGACGGUACCUGCAGAAAAAGCACCGGCUAACUACGU